AUGGUCGCAAGGCUGAAACUUAAAGGAAUUGACGGAAGGGCACCACCAGGCGUGGAGCCUGCGGCUUAAUUUGACUCAACACGGGGAAACUUACCAGGUCCAGACAUAGCAAGGAUUGACAGACUGAGAGCUCUUUCUUGAUGCUAUGGGUGGUGGUGCAUGGCCGUUCUUAGUUGGUGGAGCGAUUUGUCUGGUUAAUUCCGUUAACGANNGAGACCUCAGCCUGCUAACUAGCUAUGCGGAGCC
rnacentral:ncRNA from 1 species